CGCUGAAUGGUGUAAUGGUUAGCACUCGAGAUUCUGACUCUCGCAAUCCCAGUUCGAUUCCGGGUUCGGCCU
rfam:Gonapodya prolifera JEL478 unplaced genomic scaffold M427scaffold_5, whole genome shotgun sequence.